rnacentral:rRNA from 1 species
GCAUAUCCAUAAGCGGAGGAAAAGAAACUAACAAGGAUUCCCCUAGUAACGGCGAGUGAAGCGGGAAGAGCUCAAAUUUGAAAUCUGGCAGCCUUCGGUUGUCCGAGUUGUAAUCUAUAGAGGCGUUUUCCGUGCCGGCUCAUGUACAGGUCCCUUGGAACAGGGCAUCAUAGAGGGUGAGAAUCCCGUACUUGACAUGAACCACCGGUGCUCUGUGAUACGCUCUCAACGAGUCGAGUUGCUUGGGAAUGCAGCUCAAAAUGGGUGGUGAAUUCCAUCUAAAGCUAAAUAUUGGCGAGAGACCGAUAGCGAACAAGUACCGUGAGGGAAAGAUGAAAAGCACUUUGGAAAGAGAGUUAAACAGUAUGUGAAAUUGUUGAAAGGGAAACGAUCGAAGUCAAUCAUGUCCUUGGACCUUCACGGGUCCUUGGAUAGGGUCAACAUCAGUUUUGUCCGUCGGAAAAAGGCUGGAGCAAGGUAGUACCCUCGGGUAAACUUAUAGGCUCCUGUCUCAUACGAUGGAGGAGACUGAGGCAUGCUUUUACAGGAUGUUGACAUAAUGGCUUUAAACGACCCGUCUUGAAACACGGACCAAGGAGUCUAACAUAUCUGCGAGUAUUUGGGUGAAAAACCCGAGUGCGCAAUGAAAGUGAACGUAGGAGUGAUCCGCAAGGAGCAACUUCGACCGAUCUGGAUCUUUAGUGAUGGAUUUGAGUAAGAGCAUAUAUGUUGGGACCCGAAAGAUGGUGAACUAUGCCUGAAUAGGGCGAAGCCAGAGGAAACUCUGGUGGAGGCUCGUAGCGAUUCUGACGUGCAAAUCCAUCGUCAAAUUUGGGUAUAGGGGCGAAAGACUAAUCGAACCAUCUAAUGGCUGGUUCCUGCCG